UGAGGAAUAUUGGCAAUGCCCGCAAGGUGACCCAGCAACGCCGCGUGGAGGAUGAAGGUCGUAAGAUCGUAAACUCCUGUUAGAGGGGAAGAAUAGCUAAGUUUGGAGCUUAGUAUGACUGUACCCUCAGAGAAAGCCCCGGCUAACUACGUGCC
rnacentral:rRNA from 1 species